ACUUAAAUAUUAUAAAAAUUAUAUUUAAUUUCCAAUUAAAAAAUCUAGAACCCUUUCUAGUUUAAGUA
rnacentral:tRNA from 2 species